rnacentral:lncRNA from 1 species
UUAAAAACUCAAUGGCAUAAGGCCAAAGUUUCUAAUUUGCAAUAUGGUCAAAGUUUAGAAAUCGCAAGCAAAAAAGAUUUUAAAAGGAGGGAUAGAUUUUUGAAAUUAAAGAAGUGGGGAAAAUAUGAAGAGACUAAUCCUAAGCAAAAAUUAAAAGUUAAGAGUUGAAAAGAUCUGACCAAUGUGCUGCAAUCCAAUAGACAAGAAUGUCAUAUACAAAACC